UACGAAGGGGGCUAGCGUUGCUCGGAAUCACUGGGCGUAAAGGGUGCGUAGGCGGGUCUUUAAGUCAGGGGUGAAAUCCUGGAGCUCAACUCCAGAACUGCCUUUGAUACUGAGGAUCUUGAGUUCGGGAGAGGUGAGUGGGAACUGCGAGUGUAGAGGUGAAAUUCGUAGAUAUUCGCAAGAACACCAGUGGCGAAGGCGGCUCACUGGCCCGAUACUGACGCUGAGGCACGAAAGCGUGGGGAGCAAACAGG
rnacentral:rRNA from 1 species